rnacentral:rRNA from 1 species
AUGCUCGCUGUGCUUAAUGCUGAGUUUACUCGUGAAGAGAUCAAGGCUGCUCUCGAUCACAUCGGUGACCUGAAGGCGCCGGGACCGGAUGGCAUGCCGUCCAUUUUCUAUAAAAAACAUUGGCACUUCAUGGAGGAUCGGAUCGUGGAGGAGGUGUUGGCUGUGCUGAAUGGAGGUGAUAUUCCGGCUGGAUGGAACGACACGAUGGUUGUACUUAUACCAAAGGUCAAGAAUCCUAGCAGAAUAAAAGACUUGCAUCCGAUCUCACUUUGCAAUGUUCUGUAUAAGCUAAUCUCCAAAGUGAUAGCUAAUCGUCUCAAGGUCAUUAUGCCAUCGAUCAUCUCCAAGAACCAGAGUGCAUUUGUGCCAGGGAGAUUAAUCACUGAUAAUGUCUUGGUGGCGUAUGAGCUUUCGCAUUUUCUACUAAACAAGAAGAAGGGGAAGGAGGGAUUUGCAGCAGUCAAGGCGGAUAUGAGUAAGGCCUACGACCGUGUAGAAUGGAGCUUUUUGCAAGCAAUGCUUGAGAAGCUUGGGUUUAGCAGAAAUUGGCUGGAGCUCAUUAUGAAGUGUGUGACAUCAGUGCAAUAUAAAAUUAAAGUUAAUGGCCAGUUAACAGAACAAUUUUGUCCUUCAAGGGGACUGAGACAAGGCGAUCCGUUAUCAUCGUAUUUGUUUGUGAUAUGUGCUGAAGGACUUUCAGCUUUGUUACAGGUCGCAGAGAGAGAGGGGAAGAUAAGCGGAGUUAAAAUUUGUCAAGCGGCGCCGGUCAUUUCACAUCUUUUCUUCGUUGAUGACUCAGUGCUUUUGCUGAAAGCGAACCAAGAGGAAGCAAGCGAGCUGAAAGGGAUACUGGACAUCUACGAAACUUGCUAUGGGCAGUGCAUCAAUGUGGAAAAAUCUGCGGUCAGUACGGCUGGAAGGAGAAGCUUAUAG